GUUUGCGUGUAGUCACAGUUCCCGCCAUCAGCCGCUCUCUCUGACUAGGGCUGAGUUGAUGGCUUCUGGAGAACUGGCAUAGCUGCAGAAUAUGAGUAGUGUCCCAAGAAGAGUGCUUUGCCUUUGGCACAAGGAUCAGAAUAAAGGUGAAUUGCUAUUACAUAGGGUUUUUCGAUAAAAGUCACUGAAAAUUAUUUGCCGUACAGUAACCAAGGCUUCCAACUAGGGGCCCCCAAACUGUAUCCUGCCUGUAG